GGGGGUGACUGGUUUCGACAGGGUAUGUCUGAGGUGGGCAGCAGGCCGUGGUCUCCUCGCCACGUUAAACAGGGGUACCGUCAAAUUGAAUUGACGACAACUCGUAUCAGGGCUCUUACGCCCUCGCCGCUUAAUUAGCUAGCGGCCGUCAACCCGGGGGAUGCUCCCGACCCCGGCGCGACGUCAUCUAAGGGAGACGCCCGUGCGGACGUCGUUGGUAUGCCGCACGUCAAGACCGAACCAACUGGGGCGCGGUGCGCGGGUCACGAGGCGCGCCUCGCCUAAGAUGCAACACGUGACUGAGCUUGGAGACACCUGCCAGGGAUGUGCUUUGGACCGGAGUUCGAUUCUCCGCACCUCCACCA
rfam:Olsenella sp. HMSC062G07 Olsenella_spHMPREF2826-1.0_Cont164.1, whole genome shotgun sequence.